rnacentral:rRNA from 1 species
AUUUGUCCCCUAAAUAGGGACUUGUAUGAACGGCUAAAUGAGGUUCUAACUGUCUCAUUAGACCAAUCAAUGAAACUGAUCUUUCAGUACAAAAGCUGAAAUAAACCCAUAAGACGAGAAGACCCUGUGGAGCUUAAAACUCAUACUAUAAACAAACUACACCUCAUUUUUUAGUUGGGGCGACUUUGGAACAAAACAAAACUUCCAUGCCAGGUCCCUAUUAAGGCCCACACGCCAAUAUAACUACUUAUUGACCCAGCCACCCCCUAAAGCUGAGCAACGAACCAAGUUACCCCAGGGAUAACAGCGCUAUCCCCUUCAAGAGUCCCUAUCGACAAGGGGGUUUACGACCUCGAUGUUGGAUCAGGACACCCCGGUGGUGCAACCGCUA